UUAUGGCUCAGGAUGAACGCUGGCGGCGUGCUUAACACAUGCAAGUCGAACGGAGUUUUUAAGUGGAAGUUUUCGGAUGGAAGUUUAAAAACUUAGUGGCGGACGGGUGAGUAACGCGUGGGUAACCUGCCUCAUACAGGGGGAUAACAGUUAGAAAUGACUGCUAAGACCGCAUAAUAUAGCGAAACCGCAUGAUUUUUGCUAUCAAAUAUUUAUAGGUAUGAGAUGGGCCCGCGUCUGAUUAGCUAGUUGGUGGGGUAAAAGCCUACCAAGGCGACGAUCAGUAGCCGGCUUGAGAGAGUGACCGGCCACAUUGGGACUGAGACACGGCCCAAACUCCUACGGGAGGCAGCAGUGGGAAUAUUGGACAAUGGGGGAAACCCUGAUCCAGCGAACCGCCGCGUGAGUGAAGAAGUAUUUCGGUAUGUAAAGCUCUAUCAGCAGGGAAGAUAAUGACAGUACCUGACUAAGAAGCCCCGGCUAACUACGUGCCAGCAGCGGC
rnacentral:rRNA from 1 species